AGAGUUUGAUCCUGGCUCAGAACGAACGCUGGCGGCGUGCUUAACACAUGCAAGUCGGAUGCGAACGGCGCUUUCGGGCGUUGAGUAGCAUGGCAGACGGGUGAGGAGCGCGUAUCUGACUGGACUCAGGCUGGGGGAUAGUCCCUCGAAAGGGGGUUGAAUGCCGCAUGUGCUCGGUGCUGUGAGGGCAUCGAGGAAAGUUGGCCUCUGUGGGCACGCUGAUGGCCUGAGACAGGGAUGCGUCCUAUUAGCUAACUGGUGGGGUAAGGGCCUACCAGGGCGACGAUGGGUAGCUGGUCUGAGAGGAUGAUCAGCCACACUGGGACUGCGACACGGCCCAGACUCCUACGGGAGGCAGCAGUGGGGAAUUUUGCGCAAUGGGCGCAAGCCUGACGCAGCAACGCCGCGUGCAUGACGACGCCUUUCGAGGUGUAAAGUGCUGUCGACCGGGACGAAGGGGCGAGGGUGAACAGCUUUCGCGCAUGACGGUACCGGUGGAGGAAGCCCCGGCUAACUCCGUGCCAGCAGCCGCGGUAAGACGGAGGGGGCGAGCGUUGUUCGGAAUUACUGGGCGUAAAGCGCGCGUAGGCGGUGCAGCAAGUGGUGCGUGAAAGCCCUCGGCUUAACCGGGGACGGGCGUGCCAAACUGUUGGACUGGAGUGCCGGAGGGGGAGGCGGAAUUCCUGGUGGAGCGGUGAAAUGCGUAGAGAUCAGGAAGAACGUCGGUGGCGAAGGCGGCCUCCUGGACGGACACUGACGCUGAGGUGCGACAGCGUGGGGAGCGAACGGGAUUAGAUACCCCGGUAGUCCACGCCGUAAACGAUGGGUACUAGGUGU
rnacentral:rRNA from 1 species